ensembl:lncRNA
CCCAAGGUGAGAGGCGGCGGGCUGGUGUGGGCUUAUUAAUAGCCCCCCAGUUCAGCCGCCAUGUGUUGGAGUCUACCCCGGUGAAUGAGAGGGUCAUCUCCCUACGCCUUCGGGUCAGGGAACGGUCUCUCACUGUCGUUUGUGCUUAUGCGCCUAGCGGCAGUGUAGAGUACCCGGCCCUUUUAGAGUCCCUGGGGGGCGUGCUGGAAAGCGCUCCCACUGGGGACUCUGUCGUUCUACUGGGGGACUUUAACGCCCACGUGGGCAGCGACAGUGAUACCUGGAGGGGCGUGAUUGGGAGGAACGGCCUCCCUGAUCUGAACCCGAGCGGUGAGUUGUUAUUGGAUUUCUGUGCUAGUCGCGGUUUAUCCAUAACGAACACCAUGUUCAUGCAUAAGGGUGUCCACCAGUGCACUUGGCACCAGGACACCCUGGGUCGGAGGUCGAUGAUCGACUUUGUAGUCGUUUCUUCUGACCUUCGGCCAUAUGUCUUGGACACUCGGGUGAAGAGAGGGGCUGAGCUGUCAACUGAUCACCACCUGGUGGUGAGUUGGAUUCGAUGGCGGGGGAAAAAGCUGGACAGACCUGGCAGGCCCAAACGCAUAGUGAGGGUCUGUUGGGAACGUUUGGCGGAGGCCCCUGUCAGAGAGGUCUUCAACUCCCACCUCCGACAGAGCUUCAACCAGGUCCCGAGGGAGGUGGGGGACAUUGAGUCUGAAUGGACUAUGUUCCGCUCCUCCAUUGUCGGUGCGGCUGUUUGGAGCUGCGGCCAUAAGGUCUCCGGUGCCUGUCGCGGCGGCAAUCCCCGAACACGGUGGUGGACACCGGAAGUAAGGGAUGCCGUCAAGCUGAAGAAGGAGUUCUAUCGGGCCUGGCUGGCUCAUGGGACUCCUGAAGCAGCUGACGGGUACCGACGGGCCAAACGGAGCGCGGCUCUGGCAGUCGCCGCGGCAAAAACUCGGGCUUGGGAGGAGUUCGGUGAGGCCAUGGAGGAAGACUUUCGGUCGGCCUCAAAGAGAUUCUGGCAAACCGUCCGGCGACUCAGAGGGGGGAAGCGGUGUUCCACGAACACUGUUUACAGUGGAAGUGGUGCGCUGCUGACCUCAGCUGAGGAUGUUCUCGGGCGGUGGAAGGAGUACUUUGAGGAUCUCCUCAAUCCCUCCGACACGCCUUCCGUAGAGGAAGCUGAGGCUGGGGACUCGGAGGGGGACUCGUCCAUUACCCUGGCUGAAGUUGCUGAGGUAGUCAAAAAACUCCUCGGUGGCAAGGCUCCGGGGGUGGAUGAGAUCCGCCCCGAGUUUCUCAAGUCUCUGGAUGUUGUGGGGCUGUCUUGGCUGACACGCCUCUGCAGCAUUGCGUGGAGUUCGGGGACGGUGCCUCUGGACUGGCAGACCGGGGUGGUGGUCCCUCUUUUUAAGAAGGGGGACCGGAGAUUGUGUUCCAACUACAGGGGGAUCACACUCCUUAGCCUCCCUGGGAAAGUCUAUGCCAGGGUACUGGAAAGG